AUAAAAUUGUACUCUAGGAGGCUUAGGUACUAUGAUAUUCUCUCAUCUUUUUGUAAAGUGGGAAAAGUGGGUGAACGUUGGGAUGUCCAGGAAAUAAGCUAGCUUGCCCAAGAAGCAGUUACCCAUUUACAGGCCCAACAUUGAUCUCCACUGUGAAGCACAUUCACCCCCAAAUCUUAGGACCCAUUGAUCCAGCAGAUGAAGGUACUCUUGGCUGCUGCACUGCUCCUCAGAGAUGCCCGCCUCCAUUUGCCCUUGCCACUUAGGACAGAACUUGCCUGGGGCACAGGGGACCCAGUGACUGCCAACUUCCUUAGGACCACUUUCCUCUCAGAUCAGAAGCCAGCUUAUCAGUUUCCCUCCACACUGUGUGCUCUGAGUGAUUGGUGUACACCGCAGGUUCUCCGUGACGACAUGGAAUCCGUGUUUGGGUUCCAGACGUGGAGAAUGGACAGUCCCCUGAGCACACAUGAGGCGGCCUUUGCUAGUUGUUGCCGCACUGUCUUCCUUCCCUAGAGUCCCCUUCAGAUGAUGAUGGCUCCUCACUGUCCUUGUGUUCAGACUAAGAUUGUACCUCAUCCAAACCUGCUUCCUGUAUUGUGGUUUCAGUGAUGUCCCGGACUCUCAAGAGCAGAAACAACUUCAUCUGUUGUAAAUCUAGGAUGACAGUUUUCUCCAUCUUCCCCUCAGCCAGCUAAUAAUUGGCCCUAGGGCCAUGCCAUCAUUACUUCCUGGUGUCAUGAUGCCUGUGACACCAGAAAAUCAGUUCUGCGGGAGCAUUUGUGUAUAAUAUUAGGUGGAUCACCUUGGGGGGGUGUUUAUUUGUUGUUUUAGGGGUUUUGUUAAAUUGUUGUUUUAAUAAUAGUCUUUAUUCCUGCAAUAGUUGAAAUAAGUGUUCCUCCACUCAUUCAUCAGCCUGACCUUAGGAACUCCGUGUAUCUGUUACCAUGGCAGUGAGGAUUUUAGUCCCAUCCAAGGUCAUUGAAUCAGCAAAAACUAUCUGUUCUGUCCUGGUGUAUGGCAGAUUGUUUGCUCAUUUGACUUUAUUAUCAUGUGGCAAUAUCAUCCUAUCAGCCCCUUUCAUGGAAUAUAGACGUGUUAUUGCCCUAAACGGUGACUGUGUCCCCAUGCCCAUCAGUUAGUCCCAGAUAAAGAGAAACUCUGUGUGGACCUCCCUGCCUAAAGCCUUAGUGCCACUGCCUACGAGCCACGGCCAAGGCCAAGAACCCAGCCACUGGGUCUGUGGUCACUGAUCCUUCCCCAGACACAAAGAACAAACUUACCGUUUCUCCGUCAGGGAUCCCUCAAAGAGGAUCCUUUGGGUUUGGGAGGAGGGAUGUGAAAACUGCCAUUACAGACAACAGGCUGCAGAGAUGAAGACAACACUGCCAGUCAGACACCUGAUGGGUCCCUUAGAUGUUAGAAUUCUUGACCUGUGUGGUGUCUAGGAAAGGGGAGAGGUCUAGGAAAGGGGAGAGAUCUCCUGGGAUCUGAGUUAGAGGCUAAGGUUGUACGGGCACAUCCUUCAUUCCGUACACAGGUCCCAGUCCCUGUUGGACUUACUUUUAUUUGUAUGAAUUCUCCCUUUGACUCCUGCCUGCCUUUGAAGAUAUUUUUUUAAUUUGUUUUUUUUUUUGUUUUUGUUUUUGUUUUAAGCAUCGUUUUCUUAGGCGAUGGUGGGGGGGAUUGAAGGAAAGAAAGACUGUGUUAAAGAUUUUAAUGAAAGCCGACAGCACGAGUUGGUUAUAUCUUUUUGUUAAACUUGGCCACUUGAAGUCUUGUAUAGAAAAGAACCAAAGGUGUAACGUUCUGUUCGCAUGCGAUUUCAGGACCCGGACUCUAACCAGCACGUUGACUUCGAGGACUGUUUGGAAGGACACAUGUCCAUGUCCUGAGGCCCCACCCUUGUCUGUCAUGGUACUAUGGCAACGUCCUUGUGUACAUUUCCCUGAAAAGUGACUUUGUAUCUGUUUGUAUGAGAAACUCAGUAACCAGAAAAUGACUGCAUGUUCCUGACUAAAUGUAGAAAGGAGUAUGCACACUGUUUUUACUUUUUAAAGUUUCAUUCUAAAAGUAGUUUAAGAUGAAAUUUAUAUGAAAACAUUUUUAUCACAAAAUAAAAAGGGUUCCCUGUCAAAGCUCA
rnacentral:lncRNA from 1 species